rnacentral:rRNA from 1 species
AUUGAACGCUGGCGGAAUGCUUUACACAUGCAAGUCGAACGGCAGCACAGAGGAGCUUGCUCCUUGGGUGGCGAGUGGCGGACGGGUGAGGAAUACAUCAGAAUCUACUCUGUCGUGGGGGAUAACGUAGGGAAACUUACGCUAAUACCGCAUACGACCUACGGGUGAAAGCAGGGGACCUUCGGGCCUUGCGCGAUUGAAUGAGCCGAUGUCGGAUUAGCUAGUUGGCGGGGUAAAGGCCCACCAAGGCGACGAUCCGUAGCUGGUCUGAGAGGAUGAUCAGCCACACUGGAACUGAGACACGGUCCAGACUCCUACGGGAGGCAGCAGUGGGGAAUAUUGGACAAUGGGCGCAAGCCUGAUCCAGCCAUACCGCGUGGGUGAAGAGGGCCUUCGGGUUGUAAAGCCCUUUUGUUGGGAAAGAAAUCCAGCUGGCUAAUACCCGGUUGGGAUGACGGUACCCAAAGAAUAAGCACCGGCUAACUUCGUGCCAGCCGCCGCAGUAA